UAAACUCAUUGGCCACCCAUGUCAAACUAUAUGAAACUCGAAGAUGCGUUGUCUUGUUUUCAAUAUGUCUCUGCAGAGGUAUCCCAUCAUCAUAGAUGUGUAAACAUAACUACUCACUUGUAUAAUUUCUGCACACAGACAUCCCCUCCACACAUGCUUGUGCUGUUUUUUAAAACCAGAAAGGAGCAGUGAACUGUUCCCAUUGGCCUUGCGCUUGAAUGCAACACGCUGGACCCAGUUGGAGAACAUGAUCCCCCAGCUGACAGACACGGAGAGGACUCAGCUGGCAUAGUGCAUGAGCCAGAAUGUUCCAGAGGAAAGGAUGCCUCUUACUCUGUUGAAGCAACAACAGAAAGAACAGCUCUGUGCCUGUGUCUACAAAACCUGUGGCUCAGGCGACCCCGAGGAAACUUCGGUACUAUUCCAUCAGUGAGGACCCCCUCUGCACUCUCUUCUCUCCUCCUCCGGAUAUAUCUCCCGUGUUCCACUCGCGACCUCAGCUAGAUGUUCUUUAAUAUCUAGAAAGGGAAGUCCUCUUCUGGGAUCUUCCUAAGCCCUACAGAGAUUCUGCCAGCGCCUUGGCCACCCCAUCUCCCCUGGGGCAGGCUCACAGUGAGGAGGAGGAGAGAGACCUGCAGACAGGCCUGUUGACUCUGCUGUUCCCAUCCCCCACUUUCCUGCCUCCUGGCUGAGCGAACACAGGACUGACACGCCAUCUCUGAAAAGCUGCUGGUCGUGUGCUGGUCCGCCUUUCUGUCCAACACUCGCAGUCUAUU